ACGUAGGAGGCAAGCGUUAUCCGGAUUUACUGGGCGUAAAGCGUGUGCAGGUGGUUUGGUAAGUUGGAUGUGAAAGCUCCUGGCUUAACUGGGAGAGGUCGUUCAAUACUGCCAGACUUGAGAGUGAGGGAGGGAGGUGGAAUUCCGGGUGUAGUGGUGAAAUGCGUAGAUAUCCGGAGGAACACCAGUGGCGAAAGCGGCCUCCUGGCUCAUUUCUGACACUCAUACACGAAAGCUAGGGUAGCAAACGG
rnacentral:rRNA from 1 species